CUAACCAAGAGCUUUGAUCUUGGUAUCUGUAAAAAAGAGGUCAUUUGGUCUCCCCAGGAAGCACAGACAUUUAGAAGUUCCCUGUACAACUCAUGCAAGUAUUUUAUUAACAACAAUUGCUGUUCAUAUUUAGGAGUAAUUGUAAAGCGGGCAACUGAUGGACACAUCAAACGUGGAAGCUGAGUACUGCUGGGACGAGAGAAGUUUUUCUGGUUUGAAAUGAACUGCAAUUGCAGAGAUCAGUGUCCACAGCAAAGAGCAAGAGCCCAUCUGUCCAGAAGGCUGCCACAGACAGCUCUGUUGCCAUGAGCAGAUGAGGAAGAAAAGUGUUCUACAACGCCCGAGUCAACAAGAAGAUGUUAGCAGAGUCACAAACUACAUACGUGCAAAAAUGUUUGAGAUUUUAGCGCUCAGAGUUCUGCGCAAGUUCUUCCUUGGUUUUCAUUGUCAAGACUCUUGUUUCAAGGCAUUGUGUCCCUGGGUCCCAGGCAAAGCAAUAUGGUCAAAUGUCUGACCAGAACUGCACCCUAAACACAAUCUGUUCAUGAAAUCUGUCCUGGACCAUUGAAUUUAAGCAGCUCUGUGAAAGUAAUGGUAAGAUUCCACAGUAAUGCUUAAAACCAGGCAAAAAUCCUUCAGUCGAGUUCUGAUGGCCAGCUUUUUAAUACAAACUACUGGAUGAAAACUGCACAAAGAUCCAGUCUUUAGUGAAAUUAUUUAUAAAUAAGCAUUUUGGAGAUUUGUCCAAUAAAUGAAGACUUUUUCCACAGGCAGUGAUACUACGAUCACCCCCUGUAUGUUGCAUGCAUCUGCCAGGGUAUGCGAUGGUGAGAGCGGUUCCUCACAGGAAACCUGUGCAGACUCUGCUGUUUACCCACUUUCAUGCUUCUCGUAGACAAUGUGAUGAUUACAUUAAGAAUAUUGUUUCUAACUCACAUGACUGCUAAGGGACUACACACUGCAAUUUAUCAUAAUUAAGACAAUUAUACAGUUAAGCACCAUGAACAUUCAGUAGCCAAAGUUUUGCCCAGUGUAAGAAAACAUAAAUGCUCCAUAUACUGCAAUAUAGUUCUUGGGCACCUUCAGAGUUUUGAUUGCAGAUGAGCAUAAGUGCGUCCACAGUGCACAGGCCAUAGCAGAUUCUCUGCCUUAUUGCCAAGUGGAUAGAUUUCCAUCACUCCAUAGGUGAUCGGUUCCCAUGGGAACUUGACCUCCAAGGCUGUUAUUUGACCCAGGCUUGAGAUGUCACCAAGGGAAGAUACUUAGCACAUUUCCUCUGCCUUCUACAUCCAUCUGAAAUGUGUUUAGCUAACUAUUGAGGUACCUUGCAUGUAAAACCCUGAACCACAAUUGUAACCUCUCCAGAUUCCUUUAUUCACAUGGUAUUUGAUUUGGAUGACAUAUUUUUACAAUAUUUAUUUUUUGGCCCAUUUUGAGACUCUUAUGUUAAUGCCACAAGAACUUCAGUCUCCUGUAUAAUAUUUCAGGCAUGGAGGGGAAAACUGAAGAAAUAAAGAGAAAGAAAAACCAGCCGUCUGCAUCCACUUAAACUACGUUACAAUAAAGCUCAGUAAAGGUUUGAUCAGCAGGUUUUUUUAGCCUGCUCUGGUUUAAUAUGAAAGAAAUUAGUGGAAAACCUAAAGGCUGAAAGGAAAUUUUUGCCACUGUUCAAAACAGGACAUGAAACCUUUAACAUAAUAUUUACACACAUUAUAUUAAAUACUUUCUGCAAAGUUAAAAUUUAACAGUACCAGCUUCAGACAGACU